rnacentral:rRNA from 1 species
CGCGUAGGCGGUAAUGUAAGUCAGACGUGAAAUCCUUCGGCUCAACUGAAGAACUGCGUCUGAAACUGCAUGACUAGAGUGCAGAAGAGGGAAACGGAAUUCCAGGUGUAGAGGUGAAAUUCGUAGAUAUCUGGAGGAACACCGGUGGCGAAGGCGGUUUCCUGGUCUGACACUGACGCUGAGGCGCGAAAGCGUGGGGGAGCAAACAGGAUUAGAUACCCUGGUAGUCCACGCCGUAAACGGUGGGUACUGGGUGUGGGAGGUGUAAUGCCUUCUGUGCCGAAGCUAACGCGUUAAGUACCCCGCCUGGGGAGUACGGCCGCAAGGUUGAA